UUUCCGUAGGUGAACCUGCGGAAGGAUCAUUAUCGAGAUGAUAGUUUUUCUAUCGUUUUCACACUUUGUUUUUGAGAAUAUGCUUCGGCGAGACACCGAAAGGUCGUCGACGUUGUGGGCGAGAGCUCGCCGAAAUAAAACUCCUUUUAUCUAUUGUCAGUUACAAACCAAAUAAAUAAAAACUUUCAACAACUGAUCUCUUGGUUCUGGCAUCGAUGAAGAACGCAGC
rnacentral:misc_RNA from 1 species